AUUGAACGCUGGCGGCAGGCCUAACACAUGCAAGUCGAGCGAGCGGCGGACGGGUGAGUAAUGUAUGGGGACUGCCCGAUAGAGGGGGAUAACUACUGGAAACGGUGGCUAAUACCGCAUACUAUCGGAUAACCCAUAUGGGAUUAGCUAGUAGGUGGGGUAAAGGCUCACCUAGGCGACGAUCUCUAGCUGGUCUGAGAGGAUGAUCAGCCACACGGGGACUGAGACACGGCCCAGACUCCUACGGAGGCAGCAGUGGGGAAUGUUCGGCAAUGGGCGAAAGUCUGACCGAGCAAGGCCGCGUGAGUGAAGAAGGUGUUCGGAUCGUAAAGCUCUGUUGUUAGAGAAGCGGUAUCUAAACAGAAAGCCCCGGCUAACUACGUACCAGCAGCCGCGGUAAUUC
rnacentral:rRNA from 1 species